UUUUUUUUAAUCAUAAAGUAGAAUUUUGAUUGAGAAGAAGGAUAACAAAAAUAUCAUGAAAAAUAUUAGCUGGACCAGGAUUAGAUACCCUGUUACUUUUAAAUCAAAAAAUUUUGGAAAAUUAAUGUUUAUGAAAUUUAACGGAUUUGGCGGCAAAAUAGCUACUUAGAGGAACCUGCCCUGUGAAUGAUGAGCCACGAGAGUCUUCACUUUUCCUGGAAAUCAGUUUGUAUAUCGCUGUUGUCAGUUAAAUUUUUGAGAAUAUUUUCGUCCAUGAUAGGUUCAUUGACUUCAAGUAAAGGUGCAGCUAAUGGAAAAGGUAGAGGUGGGUUACAUUUAAAAGAAUAAUUACGGAUAAAGCUGGUAAAUGGCUUUUGAAGGAGGAUUUAACGGUAAAACUGAAGAAAGUUUGGUGAAAGCUCUAUUUUGUGUACACACCGCCCGUCGCUCUCUUUUUCAGAU
rnacentral:rRNA from 1 species